rnacentral:lncRNA from 1 species
UGUAGUCAAAGUGUGAUAGGAGGUUCCGUUAAAAAAAUUUUUAACAAUUCUUUAUCCUGUAGUAAAAAAUUUCUUAGAAGCUGUGUCUUUUUGUUCAUCAAAUAUAGGACAGGGCUCCUCCAGAGCUGCUGUGGCCUUUGACUUGGUCUAUAUUAAGACUGUUCCUGUCUUGCAUACACUCCGAGGAUGGGUUGUCUCCAGCUGCAUCCAUUUCCCCACCUGCCUCAGUACUCUAAGUCAGACACUCCCAAACACUCCAUCUGCUGAACUAGGAAAGUGGGAGAGCGGAAGCAGUUUGGAGUCAGUGUAAAGUGCUUGGGAAAAGAGAUGUAAGAGCAGUGGGAGUUUAUAUAAUUAGCAAAUUCUUUUCUUAGAAUCCAGCAAAACUGUAUUUCUGUUGUUAUUAUUUACAAAAUAGUGGCCUCAGAGGAGCUAUCUUUGGGAAAAAUAAGUUUUCAUUCAUGUAGUCAGACAUGCAUGACUUAUCUGAGUCAAUAAACUGUGGGCCAGAAAAAGAGGUGCUUACAUGAAUUCACAUUUUCUCAUUCUCAACGCUGUUCCUGGUCUCCUGGAUUCAUACCCCCGUGAUCUCUGUGGUUUCUGCUCUUUGAUAAAGCAGAUGAGACCAUGUGAGACCCAUCUUUGCAAGAAAGACCGAAAAGCAAUGGCAACAGAUGGGAGUGAAUUACCAACGGCCCGGGCACCGUGAUGGCAGAAGGGCCUGUCUGCACUGAGCGUGGGGAGUUUGGCGAGAUGGAGCAAAAUCAAGGAGCAGUAAGAGGCCGCGUGCCGUGGGUGCCUGGAUCAUGCAGUCUGAUCUAAACGGGAACCUUGUUCUAGCGAAACAGCCAGAGUUCCCUGACUUAGACAGCGGUGCCUUUGCAAGAAGCAAGCCAGAGUGAAUAUCUGGAAGACAGAGGGAGGAAUGUUUUUUCAGAAAUUCUAAAACAGCUGGGAUUGUGGUUAGAUACCCUUAGAAGCUAUGUUUUUCUCUUACCCCUAAGAUAGGCAUCUCAUGUAUAGACCUGACACCUCUUGACUUUGACACAGCUUUUACUCUCAAGUGACCAUUUGUUUUAAGUCUGUUAUCUAGAAUUCUUCAUGAGGACUUUACCUCUAAAACAUAUUCUCACUGCAGAGGCCUUAAAUCUGUGAGUUUUGCCGCUGCCUCCAUCCUGGGAUGUAUUUGGUGGGACAUUUCAUUUCGCAAGGAGAGUUGUCUUAAGAUACUGGCUGAUUCCGUUCUCAUUGAUAUUGAUUACCAAUGCCCACAGCCCCCACCCUUGUUUUUUAUUGCCUAGGUGUUUAACAGGGUCCCUUCCCAUCAAGUCUUCAUCCUAAUCACUCAAAAUUCAGUCCUACCCAAAUUAAUUCUGGUCCCGUCAGAUGCCCAUUUUACAUCAUGGCUUUUUGAAGACGGAGAAGCCUCUCUCAGGAGCCGGGCAAUCUGAAGAUGAUGCUAAUUCCCCAAGUAGGAAGUUCGUCUAUCCAACCCUCCCCUGCGCCCCGUCUUCUUAGCUUUGGGAUUGUCUUGUCAGCUCCAUCCUCACCAGGCACGCCUUUGUUGCUCCAGGGAUCUCUGAUGAGCUUCUCCUCCCUCCCAGAGAUGGCACGGAGCACGGGUUGUUCAGCAGGAUGCGCCACCUGCACUUCUGAUUGCUCUGAGACCCAGCCCAGAGGGGUGGAGAAGGCACACAAACCCUGUUUCAAUAAACUGCCUGCAGAGAACAGCAGACUGCUAGCAGAACUCGAGGUCCCAGCCCCUGAGGUCUCCAGGCUCAUUUGACCAGCACAGCUGUGACUUCGGCUGUCUGCCUCUGGCAGGUGCCAAUAUCGGCAUCUUGUCCCACUGCCACGGGAAGUUUAUUUUUGCUCAAGGGCAGCUGCCAAGCCCAGCACCAGCAUCAAUAGAAGGUUUUCUCUGAUUUUCUUCUCUUCAUCCCAGGCCGGGCUUUCUUACCAAUCCCUAUUUUCAUUUUGUAGAAAGUGCCAAGAAACUAGCCAGAGACUAUCAGCCCCUUCCUUCGUUUUAACAUCUCUUCUCACUCCCUCAGCCUUCCUAGCAGGAAGCAUGACCCAAAGUAGGUACUUAAACAACACUGGGUGCCUGAAAAACUUGGGACAUUGAAGGGCUUCAACAUUCUGUAAUACAGCAGCAAGAACUGGAACAUCUUGCCAGUACUUGGCUGUUAUACAUCGACACUGAAGGUGUCCUCCUGAGCUUGUUGAAGGUGACCUGGAAGAAGGGGUCUAGGAAAGCAUUCAAAUCAAAGCAGCUUUAAAUCUGCCCGCUGUGUUCCCUGCUGAGAGAUGAAAAACUAGCAUUUGUCCCCAGGAGGAGCUGAGCGUGACCAGCCAGUCCCAGCAGGUUGACUACAUACACCAAGAAGGACAGGACCCAAAAUAGGAUUGACUUUGGGGGAAAUUAGCCAGUGAGUCUGCUUUCGCACAUUCCGCUUCAGCGGCCCGGGGCUCACCGGUUCGGAUCCUGGGUGUGGACAUGGCACCGCUUGGCAAGCCAUGCAGUGGCAGACGUCCCACAUAGAAAGUAUAGGGAGAUGGGCACAGAUGUUAGCUCAGGGCCAGUCUUCCUCAGCAAAAAGGAGGAUUGGCGGCAGAUGUUAGCUCAGGGCUAAUCUUCCUCAAAAAAAAAAACAAAGAAUAUAGGGCCCUCUGACAGCAGUUUAGGGAAACACCCAUCUUUUCCAGAUUGGCAGAAUCCUUCACUUGACAUCUUUCAGAGAAUCUAAAUUCUCUUUAUAAAUAGUCCAUGAAGCUGUUUUUCAGACUUGAUCUCUGGAGGUAAGUCCCAGUCCAUGUGGAUACAACAGCCCACCCAGCUCACUCCGUAUGGAGAAGACAGCACACCCACCCUCAGCCUGAGCCCCAAAAGCUACCUCACAGAACCAAGUAGGGUCACCCUCUGAGCCUCAGAGGGCUGUGAGCCUGGCCGGGUAGGCAUGCCAGUGGAGCUGUCCCAGCUGUGAGGGCCCAGCCGUGGUACAGUGGGAAUAGGAGACACCAGAGGCGCUUCAGCCGAGGAAGGCACUCAGCAGUUCUCAUUCAAUAUGGCGAAACUUUGUGCACAAUGACCCCUGAUGCCUGCCAAACAUGGUGUAUAUCCUAAGACUUGAGUAGAGUAGGAUGGAGGAUUGAACAACCAGUGGAUACCCUGGGUACAGGAAACGCAGGGCUGUGACAGGUGGGUAAAGGUCUGUCAUCUGUCGCUGGGGCUGCGCAGGGCAUCUGUCACAGGUACAGGUGAAGGUUCUCUGGGUCUUCUUGGCACACUGGCUCUUAAGGCCCCAUUGAUAAAGCUGCCCGUCCCUCUCUGAGUCACAACUGCUGCAAGGCUGUAUGAUCCAGCGUUAUCUUCCUGGCAUGCAGAGCGUGCUUGAUCUGGAAUUUGUGUUUUUAUUGUUUAGCUUUAGCUGAAGGCGUUUCUGAAAUGUGGGGAAAAAAAGAAGAAUGGAAACCAUAGAACCAAAUCUCAGAUUGCCCUGCCUUUUUUGGCUGGGGUCUUAGAGUCAUCAGACAUUUCUAAUGUGCUUUUCUGGAUUCAGAAAUAGCUGAUUGUCCUCAGAGGGUUGAAGAAAUGGCUUCAGAAACCUGAAAUCCAGGGCCUUAUAUUUCUCCUAAUUAUCUUUUCUCUUCUCUCUUUCUCCCCCAAGGGAGGGGGAAAACACUUCACCACAGAGUUUGCUUUGAAGAGUUUUCUCAUCCUCUGUGAUUACCCCUUGAUGUUGAAAUUAUGUUCUCUUGUUUAAUCCAGCUCCUGCUGAGAAGUUGUGUGAGAUUUAGGAUGUGGGAUUCUUUACUUGUUCUCUUCUGGAUGGCGUUGCAUUUUCACUCUUAACCCGAGGGUAUGUCUCUGUUUAUGUUCCUUCUAUUUCAUGCAGGUUAACAAUCCAGGUGGAAUAGAAUGAGGGUUCUGGUUUGGGGGAUAGUUUUAGAGCCCUGUCCUGGGAGCUGGAUUCAGACACCCAGCCUCAUCAGACCGGAGUGAGGGGUCAAGUGAGCUUCAUUGAAGCCUCCAGUCAGGAGAGGAUACAGAUGAGUGACUUUCCGUUAGUCUCCAUUUUAUAUUGUUUCUUUCCUGAGUUUCCCACUUGUAGAAGACAACACGUCUAGCUCAUUGUGUAUCUGCUUUCCUGAGGAGCCCGUGCGUCCUCCUGAGGUCCUUCCCACAUGGCUUCCUCACACAGCUGUUUUGCCGACGCCCACAGAAGAACGUCUACAUGUAGAAGGACCAAUUUUGCUCUUUGAACUUUGGAAGUGGUUUUGUGAUGUUUGAAUUUUCUGUUAGCGUAUUGCUCAAGCCCUGCAGAAUGUCCGUAUGUAGUUCCUCCAGCCAGUCCCCCACCGCAGAAUAUCC